rnacentral:rRNA from 1 species
UACGUAGGUGGCGAGCGUUGUCCGGAUUUACUGGGCGUAAAGAGCGCGCAGGCGGCUGGUCAAGUCCGAUGUGAAAGCUCCCGGCUUAACUGGGAAAUUGCAUCGGAAACUGAUCGGCUGGAAGGUGGGAGAGGGUAGCGGAAUUCCCGGUGUAGUGGUGAAAUGCGUAGAUAUCGGGAGGAACACCAGUGGCGAAGGCAGCUUCCUGGCCUGCAACUGACGCUGAGACGCGAAAGCGUGGGGAGCGAACCGG